ACUUGAUGGUGUUUAUGACGUCGAUAUUCGACAUCAUAAACACCAAACUUGAUGGUGUUUAUGACGUCGAAUAUCGACGUCAUAAACACCA
rnacentral:miRNA from 1 species